CCGGCCAAAGCAAGAACAAAGGAAGAAAAGGGAAGAACAAAACCCUAGGUGGAAAAAUUCAAGAAAAAAGUGUGAAAAUUCAAGGAAACAAGUGAAAAAAGGUAAGAUUUUUUCAAUUAAGCUUGAGAUCUCUCUUUCUUAACAUUUUUUCUUAUUUUUCAUGGUUAAAUCACAUGAAAUCAUGAUGAAUCCCUUGCUGGCCGAACACUUAGAGGGAGGUUUUGAUGCUUGAUUUGGUUAGAUUUUAAUGUAUUUUAGUGUUUUUAGUUAGUUAGUGAUGUGUAGCAUGAAAAGCCAACAAGAAAAAUUCACUUCCUCCCAUCACCCAUCAUUGGUCGAAUUCUCCAUGUGGAAUAUUGAUGAUAAUUUUGAUUUUAUUUCAAGUGAUUUGGUUAGGAGUUAGUGAUUUAUGGUGGGAGAAUCAAGCUUGAAAAAUUAUAGUGUUGAUGCACCCACCAUGGCCGAAUUUUCUAAGAGAAAAUAUGAAAAUGAUUUUGCUAAAUUUUAUGCUAUUUGACUUGUGUUUGAUGGUUUGGAGAAUUGGAAGAAAAAUGGAGUUAUUUGGAGUUAAAUUGGACAUAUUGGCUAAUUAAUCGGGUGAUAGAUCGAAUUAGGCCAAUACCAUUUUAUUUAGGUACAUAAUUGAAUUUAUAUUGAACACCGUAUUUAGAUAGUUACCCGAGUAUUUCACAUCCCAUUUCAUGCAUUAGUAUAAAGCCUGAAUUGGUUUUACAACGAUUUAUCACAAAUGUAGUAAAUGGCUUAUUGUGCAUUAUGUCUAGGUGGUGAACUUUCUGGCAAAAGUAAAGAGAUAGUACUCGAGGAUCAAGAAUCGAAGUACUUGGAAUUCGAUUCCCAUUACAGUGAGUAACCUUGUUAUCGUCUUAAUUAUCUAAAGUAGUUUUUAUUAGUUUUUGUGAUUUGAUAAAAAAAUGAGUUUAAAUGGUAAAUCUUUAUGUUUUAUAAGUAAAAUGUGAAUAAAUGAAAUGAUUUUAUAAAUUGUCUUGAAAUUGAAAGAUGGUUUUGAAAAUGGAGUAAUUGGAGACUAAUUGUUGUGUUAUAAAUCAUGGUUUGAAUUGAAUGGCUUAUGAUAAUAUUUGCAUGAAUGGCUGAAUUGGUAUUUGUGUUGAAAAUGUAUGAACUGUUAAUUUGCCUUGAGAGGCUGUAAAAUAAAAUAAUUGCCAUGUCGUGUUAUCGCAAAUUUUAUUGUAUGGUGCGUUAUAAAUUGGUCGCUGCAGUGGACGGGUUCCGUGGACCAGCCUAUUAGAGGGGCACGGUAACCCUAUUAUAUUCAUACCUCAGUAUGAGAGGUGCAGUUGGAUAACUUUUGAGGUUAAAACUUUAGAGUUCACUUCACGCCAAACCACCACGUGAGGGUGAACUCAGCCAACGCCAAGGAACGAUUAUGUUUUCAAAAUAAAAAACAUGAUUUAUGCAUACAUGACUUUUUAACAGCCUUGGCGUACUCGGUUGGGAUAGCUCUCGGUUAAGGUAUCCUUGAUAACUGAGUAUGAGAAUGAUUUUGGCACGAGCCAAAGUUUUAAGAAAUUCAUAAGCCAUGUUGAUUACUCAAUUUAUAUGAAUUGAUUUUAUUUGGUUGAAAUGAGUUGAAAGGUGAUGAAUUACAAUAUGUUAAACUAUUUUAUUUGUCUCAAUUUACUCAGCUUUAGAUAUUUUAGAUGAUAUUUGUUUACUCACUGGGAUUAUAUAAUCUCACCACCCUCCUUUCCACCCAUUUUAGGCUCAGGAUAGUCGGUAAAUAGCUCAUUUCGUUGAGGGCUACAAUUGGACUUGCAUCCUCAAAAACUGUAGGUUUACCGCUUUUGAUACUUUUGGUCGUUCGUGGGCCCACGUGUCACUGUAAAUUAAAUCUUAUGCUUUGGUUAUCUGUAUUACAGUAUGUAUGAAUUUAUUUAGUUUUUACGCUAGAAAAAUUAUUUACUGAUAACUCUAUAAAUAUUGUUUUAUAAGAAAAUAGAAUAUUUUAUUGAAUAUUUUUAUUAUAUUCAAAUAGUCAUAAUUUCAUUUUAAAUGAAUGUUUUAGACAUCUAAACUUAUUUUUUAUUAUGAAAUAUGUGUUUUCCACUCGCAUACUACAUUUUUAGCUGGUUUUAAGAUUUUUGAGGAAAAAUGAUCAAAAUGCCUCUGUGAGAAAAAAAAACUAUUUUUCUAUUGUUUUGAUUUGGAAAUAGUUUAUAAUCUCUCAAAACAUGAUACUUAACAACUGUUGCUCACAGGGGAGGUGUGAAAACUGAUAUUAAAGCCUUGCGAGGUUUCGGUUGGCAUUUAAAGCAAUGAAUGUCUAUUGGGAUGUUGUGGCGGUUGUCACGGGCUCGAGGGAAGUACCGGGUCGUGACACGCGGUGUCACCAUAAUAUUUAAAAUAUAUUUUUACCCGCGUUAGUUUUAUUUAAUAACAACAUGUGGGCUGCACUCACUUCAUUUUUCUCCGAAAUUUCCUUGUUCUUCCUCUUCCCUACUUAGAUUGACCAUAUACCCUUCCUUCAUGGAAAAUUUCGACACUGAAUAAAAUAUUAAUAUCUUAAUAAUAUUUUAUUAAUAAAAUAUUAUUUUAUUUCAAAAGUUUC
rnacentral:lncRNA from 1 species